AUUGAACGCUGGCGGCAGGCCUAACACAUGCAAGUCGAAUGGUAACAGGAAACAGCUUGCUGUUUCGCUGACGAGUGGCGGACGGGUGAGUAAUGUCUGGGAAACUGCCUGAUGGAGGGGGAUAACUACUGGAAACGGUAGCUAAUACCGCAUAACGUCGCAAGACCAAAGAGGGGGACCUUCGGGCCUCUUGCCAUCAGAUGUGCCCAGAUGGGAUUAGCUAGUAGGUGGGGUAACGGCUCACCUAGGCGACGAUCCCUAGCUGGUCUGAGAGGAUGACCGGCCACACUGGAAGUGAGACACGGUCCAGACUCCUACGGGAGGCAGCAGUGGGGAAUAUUGCACAAUGGGCGCAAGCCUGAUGCAGCCAUGCCGCGUGUAUGAAGAAGGCCUUCGGGUUGUAAAGUACUUUCAGCGGGGAGGAAGGGAGUAAAGUUAAUACCUUUGCUCAUUGACGUUACCCGCAGAAGAAGCACCGGCUAACUCCGUG
rnacentral:rRNA from 1 species